GGUUUGGGAUAAGCCUCUAAUGUUUUCCAUGGGCCACCCCUGCAAAAAAUAGUGCCCCCCCCCCCAUUUCAAAAGUUUAGCUAUGCCCCUGCUGCUCACAAGCUUCAGAUUUGUUUUUUAUGUGGUCAUUAAAAUAAUGACAUGUUGGUAAACCAGGUGGAAAUUCUGUGUUUGCCCCUUUUUCUCUUCACUCUCUCAGCCUUUUCUCUCUCUCUCUCUCUUUCUCUUUUUCUCUCUUUCACACACACACACACACACACACAGACACACACAGUCUCAGCAGUGUAAUAGUUUCCACAUGGUUUUUUGGUAUUUCAGAGCGCUCCGUCUGUCUGAUGAGAAAAAGACCAAAUUUAGAAGAAAUAUGAAAAUUGUCAAACUUUCUCUCUCUCUCUCCCUCUCCCUCUCUCUCUUUUCUUCCCUUUUCUUUUCCAGUCAUUCCCCUAUCCUUCUCCUUUAUCCCUUUUCUCUCCUCCUUUUUUCUCUCUUCACUUCCUCUUUCUCUCACUGUCUCCCCUCCUCCUCUUUUUGUUUAUCCUCUCUCUCUCCUCUCCCUCCAUCUUUUCUCAGACUCUACAGGUCAUCACUCCACUACUCUGACGUCAGCUAACAGUCCUCUCAAAGGGGCGUUCCCUGCUAAGGGCUCCGCCCCCCACUGACCAUACAAGGUAACAGAGGAAUGCAUGGCCUGGCAGCCCAUCAGCUUCAUAAGAGACACAGAGAGACAAGGAAAGAGGGAGACAGAGACAGAGGCAGGGGGAGAGAGUCUGAUGUGACAUCCAGGUCUUCAUAUUGAACUUCACUUUCAUGGAGUUCGUACAAACUUCAGACUUUCCUCAGCUCACAGUUCAGACAAAAUCCUAGACGUCUGGACAAGUUCAACUAUCAGAGACCCUGUCAGACCUGCAAAGACCCCAAUAGACCUGCAGAGACUCUGUCAGACCACUAAAGUCUGGGACUGGUUCAGGUUUAGGUGAGUCUGAUUUUGUGUUUUCAUGUUUUAGAAAUUUAAUUGUGUUUUCUUUAUUGUGUUCCUUCAGAGACUGUCUCUCUCCAUUUUUUAUUUUUAAUCUAAAUAUUUCUUCAACUGUUUUGAAUGUGAUGAUUCCAUGAAGAUAACGUUUGAUUUAAAAUAAUCUUUAAGUUUUUACCCUCAAGCUGGUGAACACAGACUGUUUGAAACACACUGGAGUGAACACACAUUAACAACUGAUAUAUAAUCAUGUGUCCACAAAAGGGCGCGCACACACACACACACACACACACACACACACACACACACACACACACACACACACACACACACACACACACACACACACACACACUUACUCAUGACCAGGGACCAGUAGAUCAAAAACAGGUAAAACCAGACAUCUCACCUCAUACAGGAGACCAGAAUUCAGGACCAGAAUUCAGGACAAGAACCAGACCGACAUAGAUCAGGACCACAGGGAUCAUGUUCCAGAACCUGCAGCAUCAUGGACCAGAACCAGAACCAUCAUAGGUUGGCUGAAGAACCUGCUGGGGGAGAGUCAGGCAGUGUGGAUGAAACAGAACAGGUAGAUAUCCACAUGUGCGUGCGCACACACACACACACACACACACACACACACACACACACACACACACACACACACACACUGAACUUGGCCAUAUUGCUAAAACUCUUGUACUGUUGGUAGAUUUAGCUGAAAUGUCCUCACAGUGAUGGUGAAAAAUUACCAUUAGUCAACAUGUAUGCACCCUGAUCUUUGUCUUUUAUUAGUUCCUGUUACUAGUUACUGUCAGUUCAUGUUCCUCUUGGUUCCUGAUGUUAUUUGCCAUUCAUUAAUUUUUUUUGUUUGUUUGUUUCUUCUUUAUUUGUUGGCUCCACUUGGUCCCUUUAGGUCUUUAGCAAAUUGCCUGUUAGGGCCUGUUGCAAUGAUGUUAUUUCCCAUUGGGUACUGUCAGUAAAUGUUGGGUCUCGUGUUUUAAAUGUUUUAAGUUUUUAGUUGGUUCCUGUUGUUUCUUGUUGGUCUUUUGUUAGUUCCUGGUGGUUACUGUCAGUUAAUGUUGUCCAUUUACUGAUUCCACUUGAUUUCAUGUGACUUUUCAUUGAAAUUGUUAAUUUAUUUUUGUUUGGAUUUUUUUUAUUGGUCAUCCCUUUUGGUCUUUUGUUAGUAACUGUUUCUGUUGGUGCUUGUUUAGUUCCUGUUGCUUACUGUUGGCCAGUGUUACUUUUUUGUUGGAUCCUCUUUGGUCUUUUUGGCAGGUAUUGAUAUCUAUUGAUCUAUUUUUCAUAUAUUUUGUUUUUAAGUUGAUUUCUGUUGGUUCCUUUCGGUCUGUGUUAGUUGUCAUUGGUUCCUUUUGGUCUUCUAUUUGUACCUGCUAGUUACUGUCACUUCAUGCUGUUUUUUCGACUGUUCCUCUUGGUUCCUAAAGAUACUUGCAUAGGUUCCUUUUGGUCAUUUGUCAGUAACUGUUGGUUCCUGUUGGUCUUUUUGAUGAUAACUCAGUAUAAGGUUUUUUUAUUGGCUCCUCUUGCAGUCAGUUCAUGUUGGGGUUUUCUGUGUAAGAUCCUUUUGGUUUCUGAUGGCAUAUAAUGAAUAUUGUUGGUUUAUAAUUUUCAUUUGCUGAGGUUUUUUGUUGGUAUUUUUCAUUUCCUGAUAGUUUCUGACAUUAAAAAGAUGUCUGAUAUUGUUUUCUUUUGGUUCCUGUUUGUUCUUUUUUAUCCUUUUGGUUUUUGGAUUUUUGUUUUAUCUUUUAUUUAUUCUCUUUUCCCUCUCUUGUCUUUAGUUGGAUCCUGUUGUUGAUUUUGCUUUGGUUAAAAUCAGUAAAUAUUGUAAUCCUUUUUUCUUAGUUCCCCUUGGUCCCUGUAAGUUGUUGUAUUUUUUGUUGGUGUUGAUUUCUGUUGGUGUCUGGCAGGUUCUUCUUUGUCCUGGUGGUUCCUGAAAGACCGAUGCAGUCUUUUAUUAGACUGCUUGAUGUUAUUAUUACUAUUAUUAUCAGUAUUAGUUUCUUCUGAUCCCUGAAUGUGUUUUGUGUAAUCCUGUUGGUCUUGUAGGUUCCUGGUAGUCUUUUGUAAGUGCCCUGUGAGUUAAUGUUUUUGUUAUUUUUUGGUUAGUUUCCAAUAGUUCUUGUCUGGUUUGUGCUUUUUGAUCAUUUCUGCCUUUAUUGGUUUCUGUUGCUUCAUGUGAAUUUUUUGUCCCCCUUGUUGGUUUUAGUGUUUUCUGUUGCCAGUUGUAGAUUUUUUUUGUCGGUUCUUGUCAGUUUGAUGUUAUUUUUUGUUGCUGUCUGUCUGUGUUGGUUUCUUGGAAUUUUCUUUUUUUCUUUUCGAGGUUAAUGAAGUGAUUCUUCAGAACAGGUGAGAUUGUUAUCUGUGUGGAGAAGGAAAUCAUGGUCAGAUGUUCUCUGAUAUAGACACCCCCAUCUCCAUCUUCAUACAUGAGAAACUAUUUGUGUUGUGUGUGUGUUGUGUAGGGGUGGCAGGAACAGGAAAUGCUGUAUUUGUUUUCUGAGCAGUAAGAAGUGUUCAGGGCAGCAGGUCAUCAGGACUUUCACAUGACCCCCAACACACUCUCACAAACACAGACCGGUCCUCCUUAGGGACUUCAGAGUACAGAUUCCCAGGCUCUGUUUCACAUGGGGGGAGGGGGGUCUCAUAUCCAGAUGAAGUCUGUUCACACACAGUUUUUAUUUGAAACAUGAAUCCAAACUGAUACCAGACAGCUGACAUUAAACCAUGACCAAUGUCUGAGAGGACCAAAACCUCACAAAGAGCUAAAGUCUGACUGUGUCUCAGACUACAUGGAUCGGGUCUUGUAGAUCUGAAAUUAUAGAUUAGGUUUAUAUGCCAUGUUUUUAAAUCAGGUUUUAAAAUUAGGUCCUGUAAAAUCAGGAUCUGUUAAUUACAGCCGAUUUUUAUUAAAUUAGGUCUGGUAUUAAGUUUUAGAUGCCAGGAUUUGUAAAUUAGGAAUUUUUAGUUUAGAUUUACGUUCCAUGUCUCAAGAUCAGGGUUCAUUUAUCAGGUUUUUCAUAUUAUCAUGUUUUCUUAUCAGGUUUUAGAUCAAGUAUGAUAGACAAGUUUCAAUAGAUUAGGUUUAAUUGAACAAGAGCUGGGUUUUUUUGGAUAAAGUUUUAAUGUUUACAUUUUAUAGAUCAGGUUUAUAUAUCAUAUUUAAAACCAGGUUUUGGGACCAGGUAGGGUAGACAAGGUCUUAUUAAAUUUGUAGGUUUUUUGGAUCAGGUUUGAAGAUCACAGUUGAAGUGCAGGACAAUAGAUCAGGUUUUGAAGGUUGGGUGUUAUAGAUCAGGUAUUGUUGAAUUGUUUUUAUCACAAGUUCAUUGUAUCAGGUUUACUAGAUCAGUAUUUUUAGAUGAGGUCUGUAUGUUUUGGUUUUGUGGUUCAGGGUUUGAAGAUCAGAUUUUAUUUAUAGUCUGUAAAUCUGGGUGUCAGAGAGAUGGGAUGUAGUUUUACAGGUAUGAGGGAUUCACUGGAGCUGCAGCUUCAUUCAGUGAGAUUUAUACCUUGACAAGAUAAUCAUAAACUCAUUCUCCAAACUUGCAGGGAGCAUUAAUAAAAUAGAGUUCCUGUAAUAUGAGAAGGAGGAGGAGUGAUGAAGGAGCUCACUCAGGAACGCUGAUGGUGAUGUUGGUGAUUAAGAUGGAAAUAAGGACCUAGUUCUAGCAGGUUCAGUCUCUUUAAACUGAAAGUGCAUUGACCUUUGACCCGCUCUCAUUCUCCUGAACCUUGUUAAUGUUGUGUGACUGUUCACAUGUUCACUCCUGCACUCAAAUAUCCUGAAUAUUUGUUUCCUUGUAUCCUUGAAUCCUCGUUUCCUAAGCUCCUGUUCCCGCUCCGUGUGACUCAAGGACCAGUGUGACCAUAUUUGGUGUCUGAUCUUAAUAAGUGAAGUUUAUGGAGAGUGAGUGUGUGUGUGUAUUAGUGUGUGUAUGUGUGUGUACUUCCUGUGUGUGAUUUGGGGAGCAGAGGGGAAAGAGAAAGACGACCAUAUAAGGAAAUGUUUGGCUCAACAGGAGAGAUGGCUCUGACUGUUAUCACAGCCUGUCUAAACACACACACAGAGUCACACACACACAGAGUCUCUCUCUCUCACACACACACACACACGGACUCACAGAUUUAUAGACUCUAACAGUAGACUGUUAAUCUAAAUGAAUGAAGUCAGGUAUAUUUCAGCUCUCAGUCAUUACAGACGCUGCUCGACUGUUUCCAGGCCAUCACAGACUGAUGACCCAGAACUCACUGAAUACUUCACCAACAAAAUCAGCCACAGUUCCUUUUUAACAACUCCCACUUCAUUUCCAACUAAUCUUAUCUACUAUCAGCAGGUCUUGUCUUGUGCUAAAAAUAGUUUUUGUCUCGCCUUUUAAACCUGAAAGAUGCAGAUUCUCCAGCCAUGAGCCUCAGAGCGGAGAAAAAUCCUCCAUGCUCCAUCACCUCUCAUCUGGACUACUGUACCUCACCUUCACACAAGAGGGUCAGUCAGUCCAUUAAUGUCUGCAGUAGGGGAAACCAGGGAGGGCUCUGCACAUGCUCAGUUUGACUCACUUCUGCAUGCUCAACAGGAGUAGGAUCACCUCCCCACAGCAGGAGUUUUAUGUUACUGGCUGUACAGUAAAUUGAAACUUACAUAAAUUCAAUCUAUAGGCUAUAAGUGAAGAAGAAAUUACGUGAUAUAUCCCUGCCAACAAUCUCACAUUUGAGAAUUUAUCAUACCUGCCAGGUCGAGGGCAAUUAUCACAGUUUUACAAAUGAAAUUAAUACCAUUAUUUAUUCUAAUUAGCUAUGAUUUCCAUUUUCUUUGCUGCUAUAUAUGACAUAAAAACAGAUCAGGCUGAUCCUUUCACCACAAAUAUACCCAGUAUUGCCUGCAUGGAAUCUUACCUACCGUGUUAUUCUGUCCACGUGUUUAUCUAGUUCCAUCACAGACUGUUCUUGACUCAUUUUUUGAUCAGUUUGUUGGAUUAAAAAACUAUUUCUAUUCAGUUUAAUUUAUCAAAACCUGGUAACCACUUAAGCAUUUACCUAGUUUUAUGCAAAAAUAGCUCUAUAUAUAGAUAAAAUAUACAAAUAUAUAUGUAUACUGGCCGCUCCAAGCCCCCACCCACCCAGAGACGGGGCUUCAAUCAGCUGUGUUUUGCUGUUUGCUGUGUUUCAUUUCUGUCUGUCUUCUUAAAAGUGCAGUGUGAAGAAACAAGUCAGGUUCUAGAUUAAAACUCUCCCUUACUCACUCACUCUUCCUGUCCACCCUUUCAUAUUUUCAGUGUUUUGUAUUAAUGCGGUUGUUCUUGUGUUUAUGAUAUUAAGUCUGAAAACAGAACAGUACAAGGUAGUGACUUAUUGUAAAACCCGCUCACUUUGUGAGAUCGGCAGCUUUUAAAGGAUGAACUUUGUGUGUUUUUUAGUCUUACUGUGAGGAUCAGUGUAUUAUCAGUCAGAUUGUCCAGAUCCAGUCCCUCAGAAGGACAGGUAAUCUGUAACAAUUUGUGUGUUGAUUUUAGAGUUAUUCGUGCUGAAUAGAGUCAUUUUUGUCGUUAGCUGACUUUGCCACACAGAGACUGAACCCUUGUUUUGGUCAGUCGGCCAAUCAGAGGCUGUAUCUGUGAUCAGCUGUCUUCUACAGGUCCAGGGAGAAGCCAGAUGUCACAGCCUGCUCACAAUACAGAGAUGGCAAAGAUAAAAACACUUCACUUUAUUCUAGUAAGAGAACAUUUGUGUUCUUUCUGUGUCCCAAUACUUUGGUGCCUCAUGUACACACAAGAUCAUAACAUUAGCUUACCUUGUUUCAUUCAGUGUGUCCAUUUUAUUAUUAUAUUAUUAUAAAAAUGCUUUCUAUAAAACAGGUUGGGUCAUUAAAUGGUCUUUCCAUACAAUCUUGUCUUUAGCACUGGUGCUCAAGUGAAUACUGUCCACUCUGUCGAAACAUGGCAGCUUACAUGUAUGGGGACAUGCUCCUCUGUGAAUGUAGAUGGUUGUACUGGCUGACCCUUUCAGGGAGAUUAAAAAUCCUCUGACAGUUAAAGGCAUCAUUAGAAGUUUUUAACUGACAAAUAGACUGAACUGGUGCCGUUUAUGACCUUCAAAAGCAAAAGACACCAUCUGCAACAGGACUGAUAUUUUCUCUGUUGACAUUUUUAAUGCCUGAAACCACUGUGAGGGGUAAAGAUUUAGACCAGAUUGUUGACAGCCGCCUGAAAAAACAGCCUUUUUUGAUUUUUGCUAUGACAAACACUCACAGGGACAGAAACAUUUGACACAUUUUAACACUGCUAAAAGAAAGCAGGCUGCAUUUUUUCUGUCUGAAAACACUACUUUCUCACAUACCAGGAGAAGAGAUAAGAUGUUUGUUUGAAAAAGAACAUUAGAGCCAACACAAAUCAAAAGUUCCUCACAGCGGCUUUAAUAUGACCUGGUGGCUUUUAAAGAUUAUUUUAGCUUUGAUUUUGAUAGGACAGCUCCAGAGAGAAAGACAAGAAGUGUGACAUUUACCAUCACAUGAAUCUUCCUCUAUCUUCUCUUUAAACCCAGUUCAGUCUCAGCAGAUGACUGUCUGACAUAAGUCUGGUUCUGUUUGAGGUUUCUACCUGUUGAGGAAAGGUCGAGUGUUUGUCUCAUGGUAAAGAUGGGAAAAACGUUUCUUAUCUCACGUGAUGAGACUCAAUCUUACUCUAUCUGGUUGAAACAUAGACAGUCUAGACCUGCUCCUUCUGUACAUUGUGGAUAACAUGUUGCUAAUUGGUGCUGUUUAAAUAGACUGAUUGAUUGAUUCAUUCAUUCAUUCAUUGACACAUGACUAGAUCAAACCAUCUGUCUCUAUCAGGAUAGCAAGACUCUGUAGUCAAAGACUUCAGAGCACACAGAGUGAAUUAGACAUAUACCUCUGAUAUUAUUGGCAAGUUUUGGGCUGUAGGUGCUCCUGUGAGGGGUAUCAGGAAGUCUGAUCCAGCAUAAGAGGUGUGAUUUGGCACAUUUGGGUUGACUUGUAAGUCUUAAUCCAUAAUAAGAUAUUCUGGGGUGAAUAAAUAUAUAAAAUUCAUUCAAAUUAGGCGAAAGCAGUCUAUGAAUAUAUGUAAGACUCUGAGGUGAGUGACUUAAAAGCACAAAUUCUGCUGAUCUCUAUAAGUAUCAGUGAGUGAUUUUAGUCUACUAUCUUCUCUCUCUUUUUCUCAGUUAGAUAUCUUACAACUUAUCUUUUAUUUUGCUGCUCAUGUUGCUCAAAUGUCGCAUCUUUUUUUGCUGUUGAUGUCAUUAUUGUUCCGUUUUUAACUCAUUAAAACACUUCAAAUCACUUGGUAUAAUUGGAUAGAGCUCUGAUGAGUCCAGAAAUCAAAUGUACUACCACAGUAAAGAGGACAUGAACCUCAGGGCGUGCACGCUGAGCUAAACCAACAUCCACACUUAUCCCAGAUUUAAAGGAACAUUUCAACAAUUUAAAUCUAACUAAACACUUCAAUCCACACUCACACACGUGCACGCACACAUGCACACUCACACAGAGGCUGGGAGAGGUCAAGCCUGUUUGUUAGUGUACUUCCUGAUGUCAAGGAGAGUUACUAUUUGAGUGUGUGUGUAUGAGUAUGUGUAUGGUGGGGUAUAAGUGGGGGUGUAUUUCCUUAAUAAGGAGUUGUGUGUUGAGUCUCUGCUGAGGAGGAUGAUGAUGAUGAAGGUCUGCUCUCCUUUUAAAGCCUCAGUCCGUUCUGUGACUAUUAAAGGGAAUGUAUGCAGUGCAAGGGGGGGCUGGGGGGGCUGUCAGCCUAUCAGAGGCAGCGAUCUCAGACUGAAUGUUUAUCCCCAGAGCUCGUUUUUCCAUCAGCCCUCGAACACAUCAGACCUUAUAUGGACACAUUCCUCUCUCACUGGCAGACAGGCUCGCUCUACCACCUCUGUCUCCCUCUCUCCUUCAUCCUCCUGUAUGAACGUGUGUAAUAAGGUGUGUUUGUGUGUGAAGAUGUGGGUAAUAGGGUGUGUGUUCUUUAUUUCCUAUUAAAGAUCAGCUGAGGAUGGGAGUCAGACAGGGUGCAUUAUGGGUAAAACAGAGGGGCUGCAUCCUGUGAAGGACCCGGUCUUUGCAGGCUGUGCGGACAGUUCAGGCCAAACUGAGUCGAGACCAUUUGGUCUGAUCUGCAUCACCAGCCGUCCCCACCCUUAAACUAGAGUCCCACGGCACCACCCCUGUUUACCAGCUAUGGGGAGUUAGCUGACUUCCUAACAUAGCUGGUGUCACGGCACUUAAAGAAGUAACUUUAAGUUUUAAAGCGUCUGUCUCUUUUAACAUCUAGUUCUAACUGUAUAUGUUCGGCAGAGAAGGAUGCAGCUGAUACAUCCUCUGCAGCAAAGUGAGACACAUUUGUCAGCUGCAUUUGGACAAGCAUGAGAAUCUUUACAGUGCUGCAUUCAGUCUUCGAGUGUGGCCUACAGUGGAUGGAGCAAGAGCACCUGGCUGCAGACACAGGGGAGCUCUGUUAGUGCAGGCCCAGUUUGACCUGAGUAUGCACAUGUGUAGUUGGAUCUCUGCUGUCAUCAGGAAAUGAGGUGAUCUUCAGGGUUGUCUUCAUUGUGUCUCUUUCAUACUUUAGAUGGUCCAAAGACUUUUGAAGUUUGAUAGUGUAACUUGCAAAGUCGAGAAUCGAGUAGCUCCGUAAGUGAUGCUUAGUUUGAGGUUUACCUACCAAUCAUGAACAAUAACGGAUGAUUAAAACUGAUCUGUUUAAUGUUCUCUUGAUCAAAAUAUCAACCAUAAACAAAAAUAUAAACAAAAAACAGAUAAUGCAACAAUUAUGAACUUGCAGUUUGAAUAUCAAACUAUGUCAAGAGUCUAUUUACACUUUAUGGUUAUAAGGGACACAAUGAAAGUGUGUCAUGUCCUCUAAAAACUGAGAUCCAAACAGAGGUCAAACUUCAGACCGAACACUCACUAACAGAGCUCCACUGUGUCUGCAGCAGCUUCUUCAUGGAUGAAACCUGCCAACACAGACAGAUUAUUUGGGGUCAUAUGAUCAUAUUUCCUUUGUGUCUUCAGUUUGAUCUAGGAAACCUCACCUGAGCUAAGGAGGCAGGCUUCACCUGAGGGGUGUGGCUUAGUACACACUCAGGAGACAGAGCUUCACCGAGGCUGAAAAGGCGGGUGCUUUUCCUGAGCUGAGGAGGCGGGGCUUCACUUGAGUGCAGGUAUGUUCACAUCAAACAUGGUAUGAUGCUGACUGUGAACUGAUUGGUUCAUGAAUUAAACUGAUUAAUUCACUCAACUCUUCACUCUUUUUGUGACUGUCUCUCUUGAAACCUGGCUGCAUCACCAUGGUAACUGGCACCACACUCCUCACCUGAACUAGGUUUCUGUUCAGAGUUUCAGCUUUAAAUCAUCCAUUUACUGUGUUCAUUUAUUACCUGAUGAUGUUCUGUUUUAUUCGUUAACACCCUCAGCUAAAAAAAUAAAGACUAGACAAGCAUUUCAAACUGUAAUGUUACUUUAAUAAUCCUCAAUUACUGUCCUCAUUAGUCCUUUGAGGAGUAAAAGCAUGAUCACAGGGUCCUUGGAUGGUGGAUUAUAAUUUUAAAUUCAGCCAGGAUUGGCCAGUGCAUCCUGAAAUCUUCAACCAUGAUUGGUUAUCUGUCUUACCUUUGAUUGAAACCAGCAAUCUGAGUUGUGGUUAACAGGCUGUUGGUAGUAGUCUUUCGAAAGUUCACACCAAGAAUGAGUAAGCUUAAAGUUCAGUUUAUGCAAACACAUAAAAAAGAACUAAGUUCAUGGUCCCAAAACUUGAAACUUUGAGACAUGUGUAGCUAUGAUUUCUGACUGAAUAUAUGACAAUGUGUUUUGGGAUGGUUUUCACGUCCUCUAAAAAUAUUAAAGCUAGAGGUAAAGAAACACUAAACAAACACAAAGAUUGCAUUAUUCUCCAAUAUCAACAAAGCCAAACCUCUCUGAAACCAUUUACAUUUUUAGUUUGUUAGAAUUAGUCCUGAUGGGUCCAUGAAACUACUUUAAAUUUCCAAAAGAAUUUGCUUUAUCAGGAUCUGAAUUGUUUAAAGCAGCAGGUGCCAUCAAGCCAACUUUGGCUGGUUGAUGAGCAGCAAACUGAGCAGCUCAGUUUACCUAAAUGUAAGUGUGUAGUAUGUUCAUGCACAACACUGGUGUGUAGCUUUUUUGUGUUUCUAUGCAGCAUUUUUGUUAAAACUUUUCAGUGUGACUUUGAGGAAACAAGAGAGUAAUUUCUUUUGAUUAUUUUCUAUAUGAAGUUUAAGUAGAUGUGGUUGGUGGAGAUACUGUCCUUGGUUUGAGUUUAACUCCUUCUGCUUACCAGCCUGGGCACCCUUACCAAAGUCAGGGUUCCAGUUUGUGCCCCUCAGUCUAAAAAGUCUGGACCCACCAUUUUUUAAGCCUGGAAAAAAUAUCUUUUAAAAUCCAGAUAUAAUCUGGUGGUUUAACAGUGAAAACAUAGUCAAAGUGAUUGGUCUAUUGGUAUUUGUCAAAUAAAAUCAUUAAAGACUUUUCAAAAGUGAUUUUCUGUGUGUAAACAGGAGGUCCUGAAAGUGUCACACAUUGAAAUCAAUAAAUAAAUCAAAUGAUCAAAAACUAUUCAGCCAAUAAGUUUGUGAUGGAGAUGUGUCACAUCACAUGAUAGACAUGCCUUUUUCUGUGAGCAUGCUCAGUGAAGCAGGCAGCCUGAGUAAACAUAGACAGAUGACAACCAGCUUCAUUUUACCUGAGAUCUACCUGCAGCUUCAGGGUUUAAUCCAGAUUAUCAGAGACCGAGGUGAUGAUGAUCUGACCUCAUGGUUCAGACAUGACUCUCCACGCUCUCAUCAUGUUUCCCCCUGAAGGAGACACUGAUUGUGUUUGUUAUUUUCACAGUUUGAUCAGCUGAUCAUCAGCCUGGUGAUGAAGACUCUGUCAGCAGCUAUUCAUCAUGUGACGUCACACAGGUGUGUAUCAGUCUGGUCUCUGUAGCCUCCCUCUCUGUAGCCCUCGGUGCAGUGCUGCAUCUCUGGUCAGUUGGUAGUCUGAGAUGAAGCACUGUAGCUCGGGACACAGGACUACACCUCCAUAGCAUCUGCAGGUCUAGAAGUCUAAAGGUAAGCAGGUCUACAGAGGAGCAGGUCUGCCGGUAAACAGGUCUACAGGUAAGCGGUGCGUAAGUUAAACAGGUCUACAGGUGGGCAUGUGUGUGUACUAGAGGCCCAGAAGUUUUUUCAUACUUUAUUUGCAAGACUUCUGAAAAAAAAAAAAAACUAAUUAUUUUGUUAUUUUGUUUUAAAGCUCCAGUAAGUAACAUUUGGUUUGGUUCAAUUUUGAUGUUCCCCGUGAAUGACGCUGUCUUUGCUUAUCUUGUCCGUUAAGGUUCUUCAGUAUAAUUUGACAAAAAAAUCUCAUCCUGCUGACUUUUGACAAACACAUCAUUUAUGAUUAUAAUAUAAAUAUAAUAAUGAGGACAACAAUGAUAAUGGCACUGACAAUGAUUGUCACAAGGGCGAUGAUGAUGGUGAUGAAGAUAAUGAUGAAGAUGGCUCCUCCUCUCUCCUAGGGUCCAGUUUUCCCAGGAAUCCCUUGACCAAAUAGAAACGGGGAUUCCUGGAAAUACUGUUCUUGGGGGCGGGGCUUUUCAGCAUUUCACUGAAACUCUGAGUUUACAUCAUGUUGGUUAAUCUGUGUGAGUUUUUGUGUGCGUGUUUGGGGGGUCCUCUAGAGGCUGUCUCAGAAUAGAGUCGAUCCUGUAUUCCUGUAUGCUGUAGAAUUAUUGAUAUCUGAUGUAGUUUUGUCAUAUUAUCUUUGUCCCUAUCAUUCAUAACUAGUAACCUUAGUAUCUCUUAUCAAUAAAACAAAAAAAUCCUACAGAAUGAUCAAGGCCAAACUGUUUAUGCACCAGGUUGUAAAAAUGUUUUCCUGCUCCGAAGAGAUGCUUUUUAGAGUGGGUGUGUACCUGGCUUCCAAUGCUUUUGCAGUCAGCCCCUGGUGGACACUUGAGGAACUGCAAUCUUCAGCACUUCAGUAGUGGCCUCUGAUUUCAGACCGGAGGUUGCUGCUAAGUCAAUCCCCAUCACUCUCUAUGUAAAAAUGUCAGACUUCACAACAAAAAAUAAACAUGUUUGCAGCCUGGUACAGUAGUAGUUUGGGUCUCUGCCGUUUAUUUCUUUAUUCAUGUGAAGAGUACAGUCUGAAUUUAAAGAAAAUCCACCCCCAACUUCACCUCUAAGCCUGUUUCCAGAUCAGCAGGAAGUUAUUUGGAGUUUCAUUAUGGCGAACUCUUCAGAAACAAACCAGUGGCGGCACUGAGACUACGAACAGGUUUAUAUGGUCUGUGGUAACUACUCUGUAACUGUGUAGUAAUGUUGUGUACUGUUUAUUUUUGUGUACAAUGUUUAUGUGUUUGUGCUAUGACAUGUUGCACCCCCUCCUCUCUCCUCAGGUGUGUAAGAAAAUCAAUGAUAAGGAUUCAAUAAACACAAAAAACAAUAAAUGACUGCUCAUGUUGUGAAUAUCUGAACACUGAAGAUAAAAACAAAUUCAUGAAAUAUAAUUAUUCCAUGCUAAUAUUGAUGAAAAAGUCCUGAGUCAGAGUUUCAUUAACAUUAACUGUGCAAAGGAAGUGACGACGAUCAUAAGAGUGUUUGAUUCUGCAGAAAUACUCUAAUGUUUGACCACUAGGAGGAGCUGUUUCUCACAUGCACUCACGCUUUUACACAGUCCAUAUCAUAGACGUUAUGUAUGUAUGUGAACUAUGGACAACUUGGUUCCGCCUACCGCCUGUAUACGGAUUUGAAGCCAAAAAGCUCUCUGUAUUUCCGGGAUUUUUCUUCAUUUCCUGAAACCAGCGCUGCGCAGUAGCGAUGCGCGCAGUUGGCCGCGCAGUCGCUGAGAGUCGCUGUGUUGACGCUCGUCUCAAACAGCGUAUCCCUCGGGUGAGCUACACAAUCCCUGAACGCCAAUAGGCUGUAUCAGGUGUCAAUCAUAGAAAACAUGAACCCCCCUAAUAACUUUUCAAAACAGAGCUUCACAGAAAAAAAGAGGACUUGAGCACAAACCAGUCUGACAAUAACUACAUGUCAACAUCACAAUCAGGGGGGAGAAAAAUUUAUAUUCUGUGUAAUAAAUUUCUAAAGUUUGUCCACAGCCCCGUAUGCUUUGCUGGCGGAGGCGGGAUUGAUGACAUAUACUGCAGCCCGUCAACAGAGGGUGCUGUUCUCUGAGUGGCUUCACCCAGCGAGGAGGCAGACUCUGUCCAUUCUAUAUAUGUCUAUGGUCCAUAUAAAAUGUCAUAUAAAUCAAUAAUUGCACAGAGCAGACUAAGACUGACUCUGAUUGGCUGGUAAGGUUGCCACUCAUCACUGAGACCUCUUGAAUGACAGCAUGUGACAGCACUAGCAUACUGUUAAUCUUAACACUGAACCAUCAAACUGCAGCUUCAUUAUACCCCAGUUCUUUUAAUAUCUGUAUAAAAUGGAAAUAGCCCAUAAGCAACACAAUGUUGGAAUGUUCAUAGGUUUAUGUCCUGAAUAAAUUAAGUAUUAUGAUUCUGAAAAUAAGCAUCAUGCUUCAGUUUGGACAUUUGCUGUAGUACUUGCACAAAUUUUAAUUAAAAUAGGGAGUGAAUAAAAAUCACAAAACCAGUUUUUUUUAUCAUUUAGCUCUGCCACUUACACAACUAUCAAGAACUUCAAGUCUUUGCAGUGACUUAUUGUACCAAAAGCUAUCAGUGUAAAGCAGUUAGUUUGUAACUUAAGUUGUCAUUGUUUGGUGCACCAUUGAGUGUUCAUCUUUACUAGAAGAGCGUAACAUAGGAACAAACCAAGAUGGUUGUUGUUUUCCCUCUAUUUGGCCAGUCAGUAAAAAGCUCUUUUCUUGAGGUGUUUGAGUACAGCCUGUCAUGAUCAAGUGGUAGCUUUUUGAGGAUAGGUGUAAACUGCCAAAACUAAUGCUAUCAUCUAAUAGCAGUUACCUUCCUUCUGCACAUAUAUGCUGUUAAAAUUCCAGGGCAAAGUCUGUUGAUCACAGGACAUUUCAGACAGUUUGGAUAAAUGCGUAUCAUGGACUGUUCAUGGACAAGAAUUUAUGACCAUGAAGCCAAAAGGUCUAGAGCUCCCCCUGCUGACUGUCCAAUGUACAGACCAUUAGCCCCUCCUCUUCAAUGUUAACUACUUAGGCAGAGGCUAAACUAUAAAAAAAUAAAACAAAAUAGAGGCAUCAAGUUGGCUGAGUUAGUUCUUAUUGUGCUGAUUUACAUCCAAGUGUGAAUUUUAGUUUUAAGUAUUUCCUUCAAAAAAUUAUGGCGGUGGUAUAACUGACAGCUCUGUUGUCCAAUAAGGCUCCUGCUAUUUUCCCUGUAUUGUCAAAGAAAGGGCGAACCGUGAGAAGAAACGUAACACUGACGCAAGCCCACAAAAGAACCUAUGCUGCUGUGGACUCGGAUCACCUGAGGGAGCUUUGACGAUUCAUCUGUGGGUUUAAUGUGUUUUUUAGUUUAAUUUUCAAAGGUGUAUCAGCUACACCACCGCACAUGCAUGGACAGUCUUUGGACAAGGCUCACAAUAGGUGAACAUUGUCUGUCAUUUACAGUCAGAGGUUUAGACAUGUACGACACGUUGAUUCCCAA